AGAGUUUGAUCCUGGCUCAGGACGAACGCUGGCGGCACGCUUAACACAUGCAAGUCGAACGAGAGAAGAGGAGCCUGCUUUUCUGAUCUAGUGGCGGACGGGUGAGUAACACGUGAGCAAUCUGCCUUUCAGAGGGGGAUACCGAUUGGAAACGAUCGUUAAUACCGCAUAACAUAAUUGAACCGCAUGAUUUGAUUAUCAAAGAUUUAUCGCUGAAAGAUGAGCUCGCGUCUGAUUAGCUAGUUGGUAAGGUAACGGCUUACCAAGGCGACGAUCAGUAGCCGGACUGAGAGGUUGAUCGGCCACAUUGGGACUGAGACACGGCCCAGACUCCUACGGGAGGCAGCAGUGGGGAAUAUUGCACAAUGGAGGAAACUCUGAUGCAGCGAUGCCGCGUGAGGGAAGAAGGUUUUAGGAUUGUAAACCUCUGUCUUCAGGGACGAAAAAAGACGGUACCUGAGGAGGAAGCUCCGGCUAACUACGUGCCAGCAGCCGCGGUAAUACGUAGGGAGCGAGCGUUGUCCGGAAUUACUGGGUGUAAAGGGAGCGUAGGCGGGAUCGCAAGUCAGAUGUGAAAACUAUGGGCUUAACCCAUAAACUGCAUUUGAAACUGUGGUUCUUGAGUGAAGUAGAGGUAAGCGGAAUUCCUAGUGUAGCGGUGAAAUGCGUAGAUAUUAGGAGGAACAUCAGUGGCGAAGGCGGCUUACUGGGCUUUAACUGACGCUGAGGCUCGAAAGCGUGGGGAGCAAACAGGAUUAGAUACCCUGGUAGUCCACGCCGUAAACGAUGAUUACUAGGUGUGGGGGGACUGACCCCUUCCGUGCCGCAGCAAACGCAAUAAGUAAUCCACCUGGGGAGUACGACCGCAAGGUUGAAACUCAAAGGAAUUGACGGGGGCCCGCACAUGCAGUGGAGUAUGUGGAUUAAUUCGAAGCAACGCGAAGAACCUUACCAGGUCUUGACAUCGUAUGCAUAGCUCAGAGAUGAGUGAAAUCUCUUCGGAGACAUAUAGACAGGUGGUGCAUGGUUGUCGUCAGCUCGUGUCGUGAGAUGUUGGGUUAAGUCCCGCAACGAGCGCAACCCUUACUGUUAGUUGCUACGCAAGAGCACUCUAGCAGGACUGCCGUUGACAAAACGGAGGAAGGUGGGGAUGACGUCAAAUCAUCAUGCCCCUUAUGACCUGGGCCUCACACGUACUACAAUGGCUGUCAACAGAGGGAAGCAAAGCCGCGAGGUGGAGCGAACCCCUAAAAGCAGUCUUAGUUCGGAUUGUAGGCUGCAACCCGCCUACAUGAAGUCGGAAUUGCUAGUAAUCGCAGAUCAGCAUGCUGCGGUGAAUACGUUCCCGGGCCUUGUACACACCGCCCGUCACGCCAUGGGAGUCGGUAACACCCGAAGCCUGUAGUCUAACCGCAAGGAGGACGCAGUCGAAGGUGGGAUUGAUGACUGGGGUGAAGUCGUAACAAGGUA
rnacentral:rRNA from 1 species